rnacentral:rRNA from 1 species
UGGGGAAUUUUCCGCAAUGGGCGAAAGCCUGACGGAGCAAUGCCGCGUGGAGGUGGAAGGCCUACGGGUCGUCAACUUCUUUUCUCGGAGAAGAAACAAUGACGGUAUCUGAGGAAUAAGCAUCGGCUAACUCUGNGCAG